rnacentral:tRNA from 1 species
AUCCCUACUCUAAUCCUCAUCACACGAUGAGGAAAUCAACCAGAACGCCUAAGCGCAGGUACCUACCUUC